UACAGAGGUCUCAAGCGUUGUCCGGAAUCAUUGGGCGUAAAGCGCGCGUAGGCGGCCUCGUAAGUCCGUUGUGAAAGUCAAAGGCUCAACCUUUGAAAGCCGAUGGAUACUGUGAGGCUAGAGUCCGGAAGAGGCGAGUGGAAUUCCUGGUGUAGCGGUGGAAUGCGCAGAUAUCAGGAGGAACACCAAUAGCGAAGGCAGCUCGCUGGGACGGUACUGACGCUAAGGCGCGAAAGCGUGGGGAGCGAACAGG
rnacentral:rRNA from 1 species